UGUUUUUCCCCUUGUCAUGAUGGCAGGGGAGGCGUGGCCGGCGUCCCUGCUCACAGCAUUAAAAUAUCAGCUGAGAAAUCCGCUGAGACAGCAUUAAAAUAUCAACUGGAAAAUCAGAUGAGGUCAUGCAUUCCUAGCAUGCCAGGCAUUCCAGACAUUCCACACAUUCCGAUGAGG